rnacentral:lncRNA from 1 species
AUUUAAAAAAUAUAGUAAUAUACAUAGAAAUAAAUUAUCACAUUAAUUUCAGGAACUUCGAUCAGAAAUUGAAAACCAACAAGGUUUCAGUCAAAUAAUAUUCAUAGUUAGGGACUGCAUCCAAAGUCUUCCUAAAAAUAAUAAUAAAGAAAGCCUAAGGCCUUCUUCGGUUAAGAUGAGUUGAGUUUUGUGGAGACAUAAAUUAAUAAUUUGAUAAGAGAAUGAUACUGGACUAUAAGCUCUUUAUGACAAAUUUACUCUUGACGCCAUAAGCAGAUCAUAAAGUACUUAAGGGAUGUGGCAUCUGCCUGCCUCAUGGGUACAAGGCAUUCAGGUCGCCUUGGAGCCCCUUAGGCCUAUGGUAUCCUACCAUCGAGCCAUACUCGGCCCAAGGUGGUAGGAAGCCGACUCUUCAAAGUCUCAUUUUUAGGUGUUCAAUGUGAAUGCAUAUUUCCGCCACUAGGCAAUCAACUCGUUUGAGUCUUAUAACCUACUUGCCUAAGACUUGCAGACUUGGAACACAAAGUUGGAGUUAAGGGGAAAAAUGGUGUGUUGUCUAUCAUAGAGGCUCCAAUGCCUAAAUUAGUAGUGUUUAUCGACUAAAUCAACACUUAAAUGCAAAUAGUAGCAUGGAAAGGUCUAGUAGAACGGGGGCGAAAACUAAACCUUCUUUCUUCGACUUAAAUUGAAGGGCUCAGCUUACGUGUGAAACACUUUGCCUAGGGAGUACAGUUUGGCAUAAGUUUGAGAUUACCAUUCUUCGAGCCAUAAGUGGCUACUUAUAAAGGAUGGCUGAAUGUGAUCUGCAAAGCAGUUGAAAAUGACACGUGGCAUGCGUUGAGCCUUUUUAAGAAGCACUCCCCAUAAGUGGAGGAAAUAACGAAGGUCCAUGAUAGCGUAUGCCUUAAGAAUAGGCAUCGUGUGCCAUGUUUAUAGGUACUGAGUAAGCCCAUUUCUUUGCUGGGGUCACCGCGUUGUGGUAGUGCCCUGCAAAUUUUAGCCUUUUAGCUAGGUCAGGGGAAGUCUAACUGAUCACUUAUCCUCAACGAAAGUUCAACGUGCCCAACAGGCUUUAGCAGUGCUCUUGCUUGGCAAGGCUUUCUUAGCCUCGUAAUGCACCAGGCGCUAACCUUCUUGUUACGAGCUAGUUCUUAGCCCUUAAAGUGCGUUUGUUGCACCGAACUAUCUUGGACUGGACUAGCUCCAGGGACUAAGCUGGAUUGGCUUGACUUGGACUAAACUGGAUAAGAAUUAUGAAGCAUUUGGUGCACCACCAGACUAAGAAGCAGGACAAUAAAAAUGUUCAUUUUAUUUAUUAUUAAAUUAUUAUUUUGUAGUUAUUUCAAUAGUCUAAACACCUAAUUAAUUCUAAAAAAAUAUUGUUUGAUCAUUUAUUAAUUUACUUUUGUCCUUAGAAAAACUAAAAAGUAAGGAAAAAUAAAUAAAUUAACAUCAGUCAUCAGCCCUUCUUCCUUGCAGAGAGAUACAAAAUCAUGUCCUUCAAGCAAGACCAUUGUUUCUUUCUCAAAGCCAUUCUUCUUCUUCGAGAAGCAAAACCCAUGAAAAUAUUUGGUUACUAUGGAAGAAA